GAGCUUGUGCAGCUCCACCCCAACCGCUCACAGGCUAGGCGUAACACGACGUGACCGUAAUAUGCAAGACGACCGUAUACAGAAAAAACAACUCUGCAUCUGAAAAGAUGCCGCCGGACGAGGCCGGACACAGGCGGGAACUGCCAUACCCAGCACACGUUCGCCUCGUGGAAUGAAUCCCACACCUCCUCUCGGCAUCAAAACAUGGCUGAUCUUAAACACCCCUCACCACUGCACUGAUUUAAAAGCACCUCGCCCGUCCCACUCAGCAGUCUCUCCACCUUACCCCUUCAGACCAUUGGUCCUUCAACUUCACCUUCAGAGGGCUGAGUGUCAGAAUCAAUCCUCAAGAAGGACAACAUCGAUUUAACUAGGAUGCUGCUGCCAUCAGCAGGGAUGGAGACUCCAACACUUUCCUAGGAGCCUGUUCCAAUGCUUAACCACUCCUUUGUGAAGAAAUUCUUCUGAAUAUCCAACCUGACUCCUGCAGUGCAACUUGAGGCCAUUUUCCCUCGUCGCGUUACUGACUGGGAGAAGACAUCUUGCCACAACCUCCUUUCAGGCAGGUCACCCGGUCAUAAAAGGAGAUCAGGUUUGGCAACAUUCCCAGAAAACGACUGAACUCCCAUGGAGAUGAAAGAGAGAGCUUUUUAAGGAGUAUGUGAGUAAGCACAACAGAUUUAAUCCUCACAAGAAAUGCCAGCUGCAAACAGAGUGAGUUCAGCUAUUGAACUGAUUUCCUCAAACACUCCAACAUGGUCUAGCCUUUCAGACUAUAUGGGCAAUGCUACUGUACAUAAAACUAUAAGGUAGAUAUAUGUAACAGAUUUAACUUUUUUUCCUGAUUUUAAACAAAGAAGGGGCAGGAAACCCAACACUUGUCAACAAAAUGCCUCUAGUAUUUUCAUGUGAUGAGGUGAAUCCUCACUAUGGCAUUAGCAUAAUUAUGUAAAAUAAACGGUAACUGCAGCAGCAUUAAAAGCUGAUUUUUUUCACACAUUCAGGUUAAGUGCACUAAACUCCUCCAUGAAAAGAAAUAAAAAUAUGAAAGGUAAAUUUAAAUUUAAAGUUAUUUAAAUUUUGUAAAUUUCCUGUUGAAAGAAGUUAUUUAGAUUGUCUUCCUCAGGAGAUUUCUUAAUUUGUUCUAAUUAUACUAUUGCAUUUUCUUCUCAAGUAGAUUUUCAGAAUUCAGUAUCACCAGUAACAGUGCAUAACACUAGUGAUUCUAGCGGAUAAAUAUUCCCAAUUACUAAGUUUGGUAUGUCAUCUUAAAACUGACUUUCCUCAAAAAAUGAAGUAAUGCUUGACAGGAUACGUGUCUCAUUUUUAUUUGGGUUCAUUGGCAGAUAAAUCUCAAACAUACAAUAUGAUUGACCUUUAUGCCUCAUUAUGAUCUGUGUCAGAAACUUAUAAAUCUUGUCCACUGUCUCCACUGAUAUCCAUUUCAAAUUCUCUAAAAAUCCUGGUGCUAGCAGUUUCAAAAUCACUAUGUGAGGACUGAAAUACAGUCCUAAAAGCUGCUCCGUUAUGAUCUUUUUUACUACCUAGACUAAACUCUCGAGUCUCGACUCGCUUUCUCAGAUUAGAUUAUGUAUCUGUUCAUUUAUUUUAACUAAGAUAAUAGAAUCAGGCAUUUGGGAAACAAGAGGUACAUCAGUUGACAUCACUAAUACAUGUUGUAAAGAAACAUUUAUAGCCAGUAUGUGACGCUUGCUAAUUUGAAAUAUUUCCAUAUAAAGAGAAACUCACCUGUCCUGCAUGUGAUUCGGAACCUGGUCUACAACCAAAUCCUCCAUCAAAGUUCAUACAGGACAAAACAAAUUCCACUGCUUUUCCCACAUUGAUAGCAUCCAGCUUUCCCUGCAAGUCAGAAAAAACCUAAUGAAAUCGAUAUUCUACCAAGCUGAUCUUCUGCAGAAACUUCAGCAGUACCAAAGAGCAGUACCAAUCAAUUGUGCAAGUGAUGGUUCAGGACUUACCAGAAGUGCAAGAGUUGCUGCAGCACAGAAAGAGAACCUUGUAUCUAUCUCUCCUGUAAUGUGGGGGGUAAGGAAUAAAAUAAGAUUAUUUUUUCAACAAACUCAUUUAAAUCACUACUGAAAAUAUGGAAUACCAUGUUAAAAUUCUAGGUGCCAUACCAAAAAACAAAAAUCAGCUAAAAAAUUUCCCCAUAAAAUUUAAUUUUCCAGCUUAUCAAUUAUUUCCCCAGUAUUUAAGUGAUCCGUAUGUUUUACUAUGCAUAAAAGUCAACAACUCAUUUAGAGCUGGACAACUAUACAUCCAAAUCAAUUCAGAUAGCGGUAAUUUACAAACAACUGUUUAAUUUUAGAGUUUAUCUGUAGUGCUCUACAGAUAAUUGAAGAGCAAUGGAAAUAAUGCAAAAAUUAUCUGAUGACUCUUGCUCUGCUUUAAAUCCAGCCAGAAGCAGAGGCUAUUUAUUGUUUUAGGGGAAAUCUAGUUAAGGUUACAAGGUUUCUUUUGCAUAUUUGUACCUGGAAGAAAAAUCAAAGCCCCUACAUCUAUAACAAAAGGACUGCCUGUCAAGUCCAAUACAACUCUUGUAGCACAAACUUCAGGCAACUAAUACUCGAAGUCACAAUUUAAAACUGAACUGAGCUGUAAACAUUCAGUUUCUUGGUCGAACUUUUGCAAGACUUCUCUUCUUAAUAAACCCACGAGCUGAAACACAUAAACCAAACAUCUGCUGCUGUGUCCUGCAUCAGGAAUCACAAUCCUUCAGCUGAGCCUCUCGGAAAUAAUGUCAAUCCACUGCACAAUUGGUACACUUGUGGCAAUACUUCAACAAGAAGGACACAGCAAACUAUGAACCAAUUUGGCACAUAGAAUAUCAUCUACCUUCACAGCAGCAUACGUAUACUGCUAAGAUCUCAGUUGCUGAAUUUUACCUGAAGAAGAGUGAUAAGCAAUAGAUUUUCUUAAAAUUUAGGUCUUCUAUGAUUAUAAAUACUUUUAGAGUGACUAAAUAUUUAUGCCAUGUUUGUUCAUAAAGAAUUUAUAUGCAGAAACAAAAUCACUAUUAACAGAAGCUCAUGAGUACCAACCCACUUCUUCUCACUCCCACAUAACGAAAAAUCUUUUCACAGUUGACAUGGAUAUAGAUCAUUAUGAACUACCAUCAAAUAGCAAGUAUAAAACAUUCCUUAUGAAACAGCGUAUCUAGUAUAUCAAAGUACUGUUAAGUUAAAAAUGCCCAGUUUUCUUCAAGAACUGGACACUUUAUUCUUAAUACAAAAAUGGAACUGAAGUUGAGAAUAUUUAUUAAAGGAAUGAAACACCAUUCUGUCCUUCACAAACCUUUCUUUUCCAUAACUCAGAAAAUAAGUGUUCAUGUAUAACACAUAUGCAAAAAGACCACUGAAGGAAACUGAAGUUUACAGACUUACACAUGACAAUCUAGACACUACAUUUAAAAGAUGUAAAAAUUACCCCAUUCAUCUCCAGCAAACGAUCCAUCUUCUUUCUGCAAGCUCUGUAUAUAUUCAACAAUUUUAUUUACAUCAACUAUAUGAAGACUAUCAUAUAAGAUAAGAAUCUAGGGGGGAAAAAAGAACACAGUAACAAUCAAAGAGAAGCCAAAAUCUAAACCCCCUAUUUCUUUGAA